rnacentral:rRNA from 1 species
GGUGCUCGAGUGGCGAACGGGUGAGUAACACGUGAGUAACCUGCCCUUGACUUUGGGAUAACUUCAGGAAACUGGGGCUAAUACCGGAUAGGAGCUCCUGCUGCAUGGUGGGGGUUGGAAAGUUUCGGCGGUUGGGGAUGGACUCGCGGCUUAUCAGCUUGUUGGUGGGGUAGUGGCCUACCAAGGCGGCGACGGGUAGCCGGCCUGAGAGGGUGACCGGCCACAUUGGGACUGAGAUACGGCCCAG